GGAGGUUACUCUUCGUCAGAAAUUGAAAAGGGAAAAGAGAGAAAACAGAGGAAUGGACUUCGGUUCUUGAGGGAAGGAGAGGAAAAGUCAAAAAGUUUUCCUCCUUUUUGCUGAAAAGAGAAGAAGUGUGCAGAGAAACAGAGAAGGGGCAGAGAGUUCGUAGGGAAAGAGAAAGGUGAGAGGACGUGAGAGAGACUUGAGGUGAGAGAAAGUUUAAGAGAAAAAAAAAGAAAAGGAGGAACAGUUGUUCAUCUUCUCCGAAGGGUCUUCUGCCAGCGACCAUUUCUACACAGAAGCCGGCGCUCCACCGCACCUCUGCACCAGCGAGCUCGUCCCGACGCCUGCUGCAACGACCACUGCUGCAGCAACUGUUCAGUCUCCUCCCGUGACGCCAGCCUGCAGCGCCCGACGUCCUCCCCUGCCCGCCGAUUCACCUCCCAGCCGCGACGAAGCUUCUGUUUCUGCAGGUUUACCCCUGACCCGACGCCUGGUGAAGCUGCGCCCUUGCCUCGUCCGCAUGCUCGUGCUGCUCUGAGCCACCAGAGACGCCAGUAGUGCCUUGUUCCUCCGGCGAUUGCUGCAACUGAGCCAAAGCCCUCCACUCCGGCGCCUCCGUCUCACCGUUGUUUGCCCGUAACAGCUGCCGAAACCCACUUUGCCGGUGACCUCUACCCGCGACGACCGACGCCGCGCCUUGGCGACUCGCGACCCGACGGCACCCGAAGCUCGCCGCUCCUGACCUCGCCGAGCCACCACACCGCCUCCGACGCCACUGUCCUCUCUUGAGCCUUAGGUUUCGUCGUCAGUCUUAUUUUAUAUGCAAUGGGGAAAACCGACGUACAAUUCAUUUCCACUCCCAAAAAAGAGCUCAAGAGGUGGUUGGAUCAAUUAGAUCAAGAUGGCCAGAGAUAUGUGAAAGCUAGGAUCGCCCGACUUCUCCCGUUGUUAGAGAUCAACAUCCAUUCUAGUGUUAUACAGGCGUUGCCUCACUUCUGGUGUCCACAGACUUCUACCUUUGUGUUUGGUGAGUUUGAAUUGACUCCAACGCUCGAAGAAUAUAGUAUUGCCAUUGGAAUGCCCCUGGAAAA